rnacentral:antisense_RNA from 13 species
AAUAUCCAAAUAUUACUCCAGGGUUAAGAGUGAUAUUUGUGAUUUUUCUUACAUCUCCGCCACCAGGUGCCCAAGUAUCAUACAAACCACCAAAAUAUAGUGCUUUGAAUACAAGCAAAAAUGCACCAGCACCUAAUAAAAUAAGAUGAAUACCCAAUAUGGUGGUCAUCUUGUUUUUAUCUUUCCA